rnacentral:rRNA from 1 species
UACGUAGGGUCCGAGCGUUGUCCGGAAUUACUGGGCGUAAAGGGCUCGUAGGUGGCCAACUAAGUCAGACGUGAAAUCCCCAGGCUUAACCUGGGAACUGCAUUCGAGACUGCAUUGCUAGAGUAUGGGAGAGGGAAGUGGAAUUUCCGGUGUAGCGGUGAAAUGCGUAGAUAUCGGAAGGAAGACCAGUGGCGAAGGCGGGUCUCUGGACAGUUCCGUGACACUGAGGCACGAAGGCCAGGGGAGCAAACGGG